rnacentral:rRNA from 1 species
UGGCGAACGGGUGAGUAACACGUGAGUAACCUGCCCUUGACUUUGGGAUAACUUCAGGAAACUGGGGCUAAUACCGGAUAGGAGCUCCUGCUGCAUGGUGGGGGUUGGAAAGUUUCGGCGGUUGGGGAUGGACUCGCGGCUUAUCAGCUUGCUGGUGGGGUAGUGGCUUACCAAGGCUUUGACGGGUAGCCGGCCUGAGAGGGUGACCGGCCACAUUGGGACUGAGAUACGGCCCAG